AGAACGAACGCUGGCGGCGUGCCUAACACAUGCAAGUCGAACGAGAAAGGGGCUUCGGCUCCGAGUAAAGUGGCGCACGGGUGAGUAACACGUAGGUAACCUGCCUCUAAGAUUGGGAUAACUUGUCGAAAGACGAGCUAAUACCAAAUAAGACCACGGUCUCCUCGGGGGACAGAGGUCAAAGGUAGCCUCUAUUUAUAAGCUAUCGCUGAGAGAUGGGCCUGCGUACCAUUAGCUAGUUGGUGAGGUAACGGCUCACCAAGGCAAAGAUGGUUAGCUGGUCUGAGAGGAUGAUCAGCCACACUGAACUGAGACACGGUCCAGACU
rnacentral:rRNA from 1 species